rnacentral:rRNA from 1 species
AGAACGAACGCUGGCGGCAUGCCUAACACAUGCAAGUCGAACGCUCCUUGGGCUUCGGUCUCAGGGGAGUGGCGCACGGGUGAGUAGCGCGUGGGAACCUGCCCUGUUGUGGGGGAUAACCGAGGGAAACUUCGGCUAAUACCGCAUAAGCCGGUUGUCUUGAAAGAGAUGACCGGGAAAGAUUUAUCGCGACAGGAGGGGCCCGCGUCGGAUUAGCUAGUUGGUGGGGUAACGGCCCACCAAGGCAGUGAUCCGUAGCUGGUCUGAGAGGAUGAUCAGCCACACUGGGACUGAGACACGGCCCAGACUCCUACGGAGGCAGCAGUGGGGAAUAUUGGACAAUGGGCGCAAGCCUGAUCCAGCAAUGCCGCGUGAGUGAUGAAGGCCUUAGGGUUGUAAAGCUCUUUCGCCCGCGACGAUGAUGACGGUAGCGGGAGAAGAAGCCCGGCUAACUUCGCGCCAGCAGCCGCGGU